GUUGAUAGCUAUCCUGACUUGCCUCCCAGGGAUCCGUCAUAACAAAUUCUGAGCUUUUACAGGCUAACUGGCACAUUGCAACACGAUGCUCAGCAGAUAUAAGAUUCUUCUUCUUAUAUGCAUCAUUUACAGGUGACAUGUAACCUCCAAUCACACAAAUUCCUUCUGAAGUCAAUGCAUCUCUUGCCAACUCAAAACAGCGCAAGUGCAUAUAAGUUGGAGGAUUGAAACUUCCUGUUGAUACAAGAACUGCAUAUGUCCUUUUCCUCUUUUCAGGACUUAGUUGCCCCUCCAUUUGUUUUAUUAAAUCCAAAGACAACUUAUCCAACGGUAAAGCAAUGUCGGUCUUACUAGACAUGUUGCUGGUGAAGAGUAUUUUCCACGGAGAUCUGCUUCGGAGGAUAUAAUAACCACGUCGAAUAUGGCCUGCGUGUAAAAUAGGCUGGGAAUUUUCUUGUUGUUCCGCCGGUCGCCGGUCGCCGGUCAGCAGUUGAGACGUGGAGAAGC
rnacentral:misc_RNA from 1 species